UGUGUUGCUUACCGACGUGAUGGAAUUCGAUCGUACCAUUGCCCCUCUCCGCCUGAUGCCCUCUAUGGGGUAUGGGGUGGACACUAGGCACGCUACGUGUUCCUCGCAUGCCUUGCUUUGUUGCGGGGCUGUUGAGGCCCACGGAGCUAUUGCCCGUUCUUUCGGAUGCGGAAUGUCAUGCGUGGGUGCGGAGUUUUCACCUCUGCUUGCCCAAGCUAUGCAUUUGUCCCUUGAUACGAACGACUGUCGCGACCGUCUUGAUCCCGUUGUGGCCUACGUGCUACACAUCGGUGCUCAUGCGGUCGUCGGCGUCGUCGAGGAAUGCUACCUGGUUGAUCCUGCCAGUAGUCAU
rnacentral:misc_RNA from 1 species